rnacentral:rRNA from 1 species
GGGGAAUAUUGGACAAUGGGCGCAAGCCUGAUCCAGCAAUGCCGCGUGUGUGAAGAAGGCCUGCGGGUUGUAAAGCACUUUAAGCAGGAAAGAAGGCUUCAGGGUUAAUACCCUUGGGGAUUGACGUUACCUGCAGAAUAAGCACCGGCUAACUCCGUGCCAGCAGCCGCGGUAAUACGGAGGGUGCGAGCGUUAAUCGGAAUUACUGGGCGUAAAGCGCGCGUAGGCGGUUUGCUAAGUCCGCUGUGAAAGCCCCGGGCUUAACCUGGGAACUGCAGUGGAUACUGGCAAGCUAGAGUAUGGUAGAGGAGAGUGGAAUUUCCGGUGUAGCAGUGAAAUGCGUAGAGAUCGGAAGGAACACCAGUGGCGAAGGCGGCUCUCUGGACCAAUACUGACGCUGAGGUGCGAAAGCGUGGGGAGCAAAC